CUACGGGUCGCUGCAGUGGGGAAUAUUGCGCAAUGGGGGAAACCCUGACGCAGCAACGCCGUGUGAGGGAUGAAGGCUUUCGGGUCGUAAACCUCUGUCAGGCAGGACGAAACAUCUAAACAUGAAUAAUGUUUAGAUCUGACGGUACUGCCAGAGGAAGUCCCGGCUAACUCCGUGCCAGCAGCCGCGGUAAUACGGAGGGGACAAACGUUGUUCGGACUUACUGGGCGUAAAGCGCGCGUAGGCGGUUUGCUAAGUCAGAUGUGAAAGUCCAUGGCUCAACUAUGGAAGUGCAUUUGAAACUGGCAGACUUGAGUACUGGAGGGGGUGAUGGAAUUCCCGGUGUAGAGGUGAAAUUCGUAGAUAUCGGGAGGAAUACCGGUGGCGAAGGCGAUCACCUGGCCAGAUACUGACGCUGAGGUGCGAAAGCGUGGGGAGCAAACAGGAUUAGAUACCCCUGUAGUC
rnacentral:rRNA from 1 species